GACAGGUGCUGCAUGGCUGUCGUCAGCUCGUGUCGUGAGAUGUUGGUUAAGUCCCGCAACGAGCGCAACCCUUGUCUUUAGUUGCCAUCAUUAAGUUGGGCACGUCUAAAGAGACUGCCGGUGUCAAACCGGAGGAAGGUGGGGAUGACGUCAAGUCCUCAUGGCCUUUAUGACCAGGGCUACACACGUACUACAAUGGCAGGUACAAAGGGCAGCCACUUAGCGAUAAGGCGCGAAUCCCGUAAAACCUGUACUCAGUCCGGAUUGGAGUCUGCAACUCGACUCCAUGAAGUUGGAAUCGCUAGUAAUCGCAGAUCAGCACGCUGCGGUGAAUACGUUCCCGGGCCUU
rnacentral:rRNA from 1 species